rnacentral:rRNA from 1 species
UACAGAGGGUGCAAGCGUUAAUCGGAUUUACUGGGCGUAAAGCGCACGUAGGUGGCGACGUAAGUCGGGUGUGAAAGCCCCGGGCUCAACCUGGGAAUUGCAUUCGAGACUGCAUUGCUGGAGUACGGAAGAGGAAGGCGGAAUUCCCGGUGUAGCGGUGAAAUGCGUAGAUAUCGGGAGGAACAUCAGUGGCGAAGGCGGCCUUCUGGUCCAGUACUGACGCUCAUGCACGAAAGCGUGGGGAGCAAACAGG